rnacentral:misc_RNA from 1 species
AAGUCGUAACAAGGUUUCCGUAGGUGAACCUGCGGAAGGAUCAUUAUCGAAGAAAACUCUUCAUACACCUGUGCACUGUAGCCCUCGGGCUCACACAAACACUAUUGUCGUCGUGAAUGUCUAGUUAUCAUAACAAACAUAA